rnacentral:rRNA from 1 species
UAAAAUUAGUAAUAGUUAUGUUCUUGAAAUUUAAAAAAUUUGGCGGUAUUUUAAAUUUUUAGAGGAACCUGUUCUAUAAUUGAUAAUCCACGAUUAAAUGUACUUAUUUAAGGGUUUAUAUAUCGUUGUAAAUAAAUAUUUUGUAAGAGUAUAAAUAUUUAGAAUAUUAAUAAUAAUAAUAAUUCAAAUCAAGAUGUAGCUAUAUUUAAGAAGAGAUGGGUUACAAUUAUUUUAAUAUUGGAUUAGUUAUUUUAAAUAAUUAAGAAAGAGGAUUUAAUAGUAAUUAAAUAAAUUAUUUUUGAAUGAAUAAUAUUAUAAAAUAUGUACAUAUUGCCCGUCACUCCUAACUAAA